rnacentral:rRNA from 1 species
GAUGAACGCUGGCGGCGUGCCUAAUACAUGCAAGUCGAGCGAACAGACGAGGAGCUUGCUCCUCUGACGUUAGCGGCGGACGGGUGAGUAACACGUGGAUAACCUACCUAUAAGACUGGGAUAACGUCGGGAAGCCGGAGCUAAUACCGGAUAAUAUAUUGAACCGCAUGGUUCAAUAGUGAAAGACGGUUUUGCUGUCACUUAUAGAUGGAUCCGCGCCGCAUUAGCUAGUUGGUAAGGUAACGGCUUACCAAGGCAACGAUGCGUAGCCGACCUGAGAGGGUGAUCGGCCACACUGGAACUGAGACACGGUCCAGACUCCUACGGGAGGCAGCAGUAGGGAAUCUUCCGCAAUGGGCGAAAGCCUGACGGAGCAACGCCGCGUGAGUGAUGAAGGUCUUCGGAUCGUAAAACUCUGUUAUUAGGGAAGAACAAAUGUGUAAGUAACUAUGCACGUCUUGACGGUACCUAAUCAGAAAGCCACGGCUAACUACGUG